rnacentral:rRNA from 1 species
AGAGUUUGAUCCUGGCUCAGAUUGAACGCUGGCGGCAUGCCUUACACAUGCAAGUCGAACGGUAACAGGUCUUCGGAUGCUGACGAGUGGCGAACGGGUGAGUAAUACAUCGGAACGUGCCCGAUCGUGGGGGAUAACGAGGCGAAAGCUUUGCUAAUACCGCAUACGAUCUACGGAUGAAAGCGGGGGAUCUUCGGACCUCGCGCGGACGGAGCGGCCGAUGGCAGAUUAGGUAGUUGGUGGGAUAAAAGCUUACCAAGCCGACGAUCUGUAGCUGGUCUGAGAGGAUGAUCAGCCACACUGGGACUGAGACACGGCCCAGACUCCUACGGGAGGCAGCAGUGGGGAAUUUUGGACAAUGGGCGAAAGCCUGAUCCAGCCAUGCCGCGUGCAGGAUGAAGGCCUUCGGGUUGUAAACUGCUUUUGUACGGAACGAAAAGCCUCUUUCUAAUAAAGAGGGGUCAUGACGGUACCGUAAGAAUAAGCACCGGCUAACUACGUG